rnacentral:rRNA from 1 species
GACGAACGCUGGCGGCGUGCUUAACACAUGCAAGUCGAACGGAAAGGCCCUGCUUUUGUGGGGUGCUCGAGUGGCGAACGGGUGAGUAACACGUGAGUAACCUGCCCUUGACUUUGGGAUAACUUCAGGAAACUGGGGCUAAUACCGGAUAGGAGCUCCUGCUGCAUGGUGGGGGUUGGAAAGUUUCGGCGGUUGGGGAUGGACUCGCGGCUUAUCAGCUUGUUGGUGGGGUAGUGGCUGCCCAAGGCUUUGACGGGUAGCCGGCCUGAGAGGGUGACCGGCCACAUUGGGACUGAGAUACGGCCCAGACUCCUACGGGAGGCAGCAGUGGGGAAUAUUGCACAAUGGGCGGAAGCCUGAUGCAGCAACGCCGCGUGCGGGAUGACGGCCUUCGGGUUGUAAACCGCUUUCGCCUGUGACGAAGCGUGAGUGACGGUAAUGGGUAAAGAAGCACCGGCUAACUACGUG